CCCUGCUUAGCUUUCUGCUAGACUCACUUUGGACAAAAUUAGGUCCAUUAACUCUUUGGAUGAAUUCUGUAUCUGCAAAGUGCUUUACCUGAGCAAACCAGGUGAUACACGAAUAUAUUCGGAUGCUUUUUGAUUCUGGGUUCCACACGUGAUCAAAAAAGAAGGAAAGAAUGAAUGGGUUUGUUAUUAUUGUUAAAAUAUAUUGGGAUAAGAAUGUGUGUAUUGUCUAAUAUCAAAACUUUGCUAAGCCCAAAUAGAUGUUUGUGAUAAAUAAGUUCCUACUUGGUGGAUUAAUUAGUUCUGUAAUGUUAUCAAGGUCUUUGACUUAAAGAAACCGCACACGCACAGCAAACACUAGACUGAACACACUCCCAAGAUGAAAAUAAUUUUCAUAGCAUAAACCUAAGCAAUCUCACAUUAGGAUCAAUGACCAAGGCUGGCCAUCUAUCUCCCACUCAGAGUUAGUAUAAGUGGCAGAAGCUAGACAGGCACACUAGGAUCCAUAACACAGGCACAGCAAGGAUAAAAAGCAGACAAUCCAUGUCUACUGGUCUGUCUCAAUAGUUGCAGUCAAAGUGUUUAAAGCAAACCUGCUUGGAGAUUAUAUCUAUCUCUAUAUCUAUAUCUAUAUCUAAUCAGCAUUUAGUGGCUGUCUUCUACCCAUUAAUCAUCUUGCUUUUCCAGCACUUGAUUGGACAGGAGAUGUAGCUCAAAUCAUUGCGUAGACAUUUUAUCCAUCAUGG